UCCUACGGGAGGCAGCAGUAGGGAGUAUUCGGCAAUGGGGGAAACCCUGACCGAGCAACGCCGCGUGAAUGAUGACGGCCUUCGGGUUGUAAAAUUCUGUGGCGAGGAACGAAUGGCAAGGAGAGGAAAUGCUCUUUGUUUGACGGUACCUCGCUAGAAAGCCACGGCUAACUACGUGCCAGCAGCCGCGGUAAUACGUAGGUGGCAAGCGUUAUCCGGAAUUAUUGGGCGUAAAGAGUGAGCAGGCGGUUUUUUAAGUCUGAAGUCAAAUCCUGUGGCUCAACCACAGUUCGCUUUGGAAACUGAAGAACUAGAGUGCGGGAGAGGUAAGCGGAAUUCCAUAUGUAGCGGUGAAAUGCACAGAUAUAUGGAGGAACACCGGUGGCGAAGGCGGCUUACCAGCCCGAUACUGACGCUCAGUCACGAAAGCGUGGGGAGCAAAUAGGCUUAGAUACCCUAGUAGUCCACGCCGUAAACGUUGAGGACCUGAUGCCGGAGUAUUUCGGUGUCGUAGCUAACGCGUUAAGUCCUCCGCCUGGGUACUACGUUCGCAAGAAUAAAACUUAAAGGAAUUGACGGGGGCCCGCACAAGCAGUGGAGCAUGUGGUUUAAUUCGUCGCUACGCGAAAAACCUUACCAGGGUUUGACAUCCCGCUAAAAGUCUUGGAAACAAGAUCAUAGUUAUAGCGGUGAAAGGUGGUGCAUGGUUGUCGUCAGCUCGUGUCGUGAGAUGUUGGGUUAAGUCCCCUAACGAGCGCAACCCUUGUCUCUAUUUGCCAUCAUUAAGUUGGGAACUAUAGAGAGACUGCCGGUGCAAACCGGAGGAAGAUGGGGAUGACGUCAAAUCAUCAUGCCCCUUAUGCCCUGGGCCACACACGUGCUACAAUGGCCGGUACAGAGAGAAGCAAUCCCGUGAGGAGGAGCAAAUCUCACAAAGCCGGUCUCAGUUCGGAUUGGAGU
rnacentral:rRNA from 1 species